GACGAACCGUGCGAACGUUAUUCGGAAUCACUGGGCUUAAAGCGCGUGUAGGCGGGCCGGCACGUCGGUCGCUGAAAUCCCCCGGCUCAACCGGGGAAGGGGCGCCGAUACGACCGGCCUGGAGGGGCGUAGGGGGACCGGGAACUUCCGGUGGAGCGGUGAAAUGCGUUGAGAUCGGAAGGAACGCCCGCGGCGAAAGCGCGGUCCUGGACGCCUGCCGACGCUGAGGCGCGAAAGCCAGGGGAGCAAACGGG
rnacentral:rRNA from 1 species